rnacentral:lncRNA from 1 species
CCCGGGUCGACUGCAGCUCCGACUCUGACGUCGCCAAGGCUCCCUUGAGUCGGGAGACCUCCUCCAUAAGUCGGGAGACCUCCCCCUCGAGUCGGCCCUCCCGUUCGAUCGACUGUUGCAGCUGGUCGACCAGGAUGACCUUGUCAGCUUCAACGGCAGCGACCUUGUCUCUCCAAGCCGCGCGCAUGUCGUCGAAUUUUUGGUAUCCGGCC